AGAUACUUGAAAAGCUACUGCGCAUAUUGAUCGUCCCCACCAUUGAUUUUUGAGGGAAUGACAUACUUCCGGCAACUCCAAGCGUUCUUUCCGUCCCUAACAGCGGCACGGAAAUCUUUGCCGCUUAAUUACAUCCAUAAGUCAAUUGAACCGUUUUUCAUCCUAAGGGACUGUAAAGCAUACCACACCAUUUCGAACAUGACUUACAGUGGAGGAUCAUCCGGUGGAUACCGUAAUGGUGCAUCUGGAAAAUCAGGUAGCCAGCGUUCAGCUUCAUCUUCAAGAAACGGCUAUGGCGGCGGCGGCAAUAAUAGGAGUGGUGGGUAUGGAGGUGGAAGCCGUACAACCAAUGGAAACGCAGGCAAUGGAAGUCGAUUCGGUAACCGAGCGAACAAUGCGUCUAACGGUAUUGCUGGUGGAAAUCUGAAGAAACCUAACUGGGAUCAUGAAAGUCUUAAGCCUUUUAAAAAAGACUUCUAUAUUCCACAUCAAAGUGUUUCUCAAAGAAAUUUUCGAGAUGUUGAGCAAUUCAGACAAGUAAAACAAAUUACGCUAAAAGGAGAAAAGGUUCCAAAUCCAAUUCAACACUUUAAUGAGAGUAAUUUCCCUGAUUAUGUAAUGGAAAGUUUAAAGAAACAAGGUUUCUCAGAACCAACUGCAAUUCAAGCUCAAGGAUGGCCCAUUGCUAUGUCUGGACGUAACAUGGUGGGAAUCGCUCAGACUGGAUCUGGCAAAACACUAGCCUACAUUUUACCUGCAAUCGUUCACAUCAAUAGUCAACAACCAUUGAAUCGUGGAGAUGGUCCUAUUGCAUUAGUUCUCGCACCAACCAGAGAACUCGCUCAACAAAUCCAAACUGUUGCUAAUGAAUUUGGAUCCUUGUCUUAUGUAAGAAACACAUGUAUAUUUGGUGGUGCCCCUAAAGGAAGCCAAGCACGAGAUUUAGAACGAGGUGUUGAAAUCGUAAUUGCUACUCCUGGAAGACUUAUUGAUUUCCUUGAAAGGGGAACCACGAAUUUAAGGCGAUGCACUUAUCUAGUUCUUGAUGAAGCUGAUCGCAUGUUAGACAUGGGUUUCGAACCUCAAAUUAGAAAAAUUAUUGAACAAAUCAGACCUGAUAGACAAGUCCUCAUGUGGUCUGCAACGUGGCCCAAAGAAGUCAGAAAUCUUGCUGAAGAAUAUCUUGUUGACUACACUCAAUUAAACAUUGGAUCUUUAUCUUUGUCUGCCAAUCACAAUAUUCUUCAAAUUAUUGAUGUUUGUCAAGAACAUGAAAAAGAAGCAAAAUUGGGUACUUUACUUCAAGAAAUUGGCAAUGUUAAUGAUGACGGUGGUAAAACAAUUAUAUUUGUUGAAACAAAAAAGAAAGUUGAAAGUAUUACAAGAAAUAUCAGACGAUACGGUUGGCCUGCAGUGUGUAUGCAUGGAGAUAAAUCACAACAAGAACGUGACUACGUACUCAGAGAAUUCAGAAAUAAAAAAGGAUCCAUUCUCGUAGCAACAGAUGUUGCUGCUCGUGGACUCGAGGCACAUGGUGCACAGAUUCUGUUGAGUGUGCGAUGAACUAAAAUAAGUCGAACGACAUGAACCAUGGCUCACUCACUGUCUGUGCUCUUGAAAAAGACUAUAUAUAAUAAGUGAUAUAUAGCAAUGUACAUGCGUAUAUUUCGCGUGCGUUUAGCAUGUACUUAAUGUGCCUCUGUGUAUGGCCUGUGUACCACGUAAGUAGAAAGGUGGUGCUCGGGUAUAAUCGCGCUGAUUGGCUGUGGAAUUAAGGCUCUGGUUAUUGCACGUACAACUCGCCAUAGUCAAUAUAUUCAGCCGGUGCGAGACAACAAUCUAUUGAUUUUGCUACAAUCGCUAAUCGGGAAUAUAUUCCCGGGACAGUCAACUGAACUUGCAUUCAACAUACCAUCUUCAAGAGUACUCUUAACGCUCUCAUCGAAUGCAAAGUUCAGCGGUUUUGUGAUGUUGACGAUGUGAAGUACGUGAUCAACUUUGAUUAUCCAUCAUCAUCAGAAGAUUAUAUUCAUAGAAUUGGAAGAACGGGACGAUCACAGUCGACUGGAACAAGUUACGCAUUUUUCACACCACAAAACAGUCGACA